rnacentral:rRNA from 1 species
AGUGAACGCUGGCGGUAGGCCUAACACAUGCAAGUCGAACGGCAGCACAGUAAGAGCUUGCUCUUACGGGUGGCGAGUGGCGGACGGGUGAGGAAUACAUCGGAAUCUACUUUUUCGUGGGGGAUAACGUAGGGAAACUUACGCUAAUACCGCAUACGACCUACGGGUGAAAGCAGGGGAUCUUCGGACCUUGCGCGAUUGAAUGAGCCGAUGUCGGAUUAGCUAGUUGGCGGGGUAAAGGCCCACCAAGGCGACGAUCCGUAGCUGGUCUGAGAGGAUGAUCAGCCACACUGGAACUGGGACACGGUCCAGACUCCUACGGGAGGCAGCAGUGGGGAAUAUUGGACAAUGGGGGCAAGCCUGCUCCAGCCAUACCGCGUGGGUGAAGAAGGCCUUCGGGUUGUAAAGCCCUUUUGUUGGGAAAGAAAAGCAGCAGGUUAAUACCCCGCUGUUCUGACGGUACCCAAAGAAUAAGCACCGGCUAACUUCGUG